CUACGGGCGGCUCCAGUGAGGAAUAUUGCACAAUGGAGGAAACUCUGAUGCAGCAACGCCGCGUGGAGGAUGACGCAUUUCGGUGUGUAAACUCCUUUUAUAUGUCAAGAAAAUGACGGUAGCAUAUGAAUAAGCUCCGGCUAACUCCGUGCCAGCAGCCGCGGUAAUACGGAGGGAGCAAGCGUUACUCGGAAUCACUGGGCGUAGAGGACGCGGAGGCGGGAUAGAAAGUCAGGUGUGAAAUCCUAUGGCUCAACCAUAGAACUGCACUUGAAACUUCUAACCUAGAGUAUGGGAGGGGAAGAUGGAAUUAGUGGUGUAGGGGUAAAAUCCGUAGAUAUCACUAGGAAUACCAAAAGCGAAGGCGAUCUUCUGGAACAAUACUGACGCUAAGGCGUGAAAGCGUGGGGAGCAAACAGGAUUAGAUACCCCAGUAGUC
rnacentral:rRNA from 1 species